GGUGUCUUUACCCCAACGAGGGAUGUCCUUCCCAGCAGGUCCUCCAGCACGGCUCCGCACUAGCUGCCCUCCACCACGGGUCCUAUUCUGGACAACAAACAGGUGGUUUCACCUCCAUGACUGGUGACAAACAGGUGGUUUCACCUCCAUGUCUGGUGACAAACAGGUGGUUUCACCUCCAUGUCUGGUAACAAACAGGUGGUUUCACCUCCGUGUCUGGUGACAAACCGGUGGUUUCACCUCCAUGUCUGGUAACAACAGUUGUAGCUCGUCUAACAUCUGGUAACAAACACCCUUGCACUUGUAAAGCGGUAACAAAUAUCAAACUCUUCAGUUUACAUUUCAACUUAUUGAGUAAUGUAUAAACUAUAGUAGCAGGAGCAGCAAUAGGGUCAAAAACAGCCGACUACUCGAAUGACACAAGAUAUUGUCUCAAAUCACAGCUUUGGCAAAAUUUCGCAGAAUGAAAAUCAGAACUACUACUAAGAAAAAACAAAAAACAAAGAACUAAAAUAAUGCCUGGCCUUCAGCGUUUCAGAACA
ensembl:lncRNA